rnacentral:rRNA from 1 species
UACGUAGGGAGCGAGCGUUGUCCGAAGUUACUGGGCGUAAAGCGCGCGUAGGCGGGUUGUUAAGUGAGAGGUGAAAGGCUGGGGCUCAACCUCAUGCAGUGCCUCUCAUACUGGCAGUCUUGAGUGAGGUAGGGAGAAGUGGAAUGGCUGGUGUAGCGGUGAAAUGCGUAGAUAUCGUCAAGAACACCGAUAGCGAAGGCAGCUUACUAGGCUGUAACUGACGCUGAGGCACGAAAGUGUGGGGAUCAAACAGG